GCUAUGUUUCCAUGAAAUGCAAACUGCGGCGGAUGACCACACUCCAUAGAGACAAGCGAACACGCUAGGACCGAAUUUGCAUACACUGCACGCAAAGAUUUAUUUGGAAACGGUCAACAUGGCCAAUCAGAAGGAAGGAUACAUCAGUCUGCGAAAUCAUUUUGCAAUAUAUCUAUGUCCCAUGUGUAGUAGCCAUCACCAAUUCUAUUUGUGAUCCACAGCUUUCAAAUCUCUCUCUAUAUAUAGGGGUCUGACUGAGUCAAAUAUAAUGGUACAUGGAGCUAGCUAUCUAAGUUACUAUCUUAUCUAAGAUGUAAUUGAUGCUUUCUUUUGCCCAGUAGUAUGUAUUUCAAUGGAUUAACUAC
rnacentral:rRNA from 1 species